ACUAACAACCCAGUUCCAGAUGUGAUAUCUGAUCAAAGGUCUGAGAAACUCAGUGUUAACUAUUUCUCGUGAAGAUGAACAGACGAACUGACCUCCAGGUCAGUUCGUACACACAUAAGGAAGAGAACACAGAAAAUCACAAUGAUCUAUAGGCUGAAUGUGAACUAAAGUAAUAGUAAAAUGAUAAUACCA